rnacentral:tRNA from 1 species
GGGCGAUUGGCUCAGCGGUAGAGCGCUCGCUUCACACGCGAGAGGUCACUGGUUCGAACCCAGUAUCGCCCACAA